UUCUUGUUACCUUCAGGACUGAGAAUUGUGCCCAUUGUUUCUUUGGAGGCAGCUGACCUGGCCAAAUAUCUUGAAAAGCUCUCUGUCACAGCAGCCUUCCCCAUCUCGGCCUGGGAGUUCCCCAGAGGUGGUGUGGUUUACUGAGGCAUUGAAAACUCAGCAUUUCAAAGCAGGGGCUGUCUGUGUCCUGGCUAGGAGUGGCUCAGACUUGCCCUCACGAUUUUCGGAGACCUUUAUAACAGAAGGAACCACCUUUGGUUCAACUCUUCCAUUUUUCAGAGGAGGACGCAGGGAUCCAAAGAGGUUGAGACUUUGAAGUCCCUAAGCAACUAGAUUGGGAAACUGCAACCUCGAUUUGCCCAAGGCCUCGCCGUUACCAGGUGUGGAUCAGAACUGGAACCUACGCAGUGAGACAGCGGAGCCCGCACCUUGACCUCUGUGCUCAGAAUGGCUGCCUUCCACGGAUGCUCCGGGUGUGAGGAGGACCGACUUUACUCCUAGUAAAGUGCGAGGGGCACAUCGUUGCCUGAAUGAAGCCGCUUGGACAUUGCAUCCGUUCAGACCACUCCUUGCCCCAGAUGUAGCUCUGUCAUCAGCAGCUUGGUGUCGAGUUCAAGGUGUCUUGGCACCAGGAAUAAUGUGCCCGGAGGCGUGGGUACCUAACUUUCCACCAGGGCAAGAGCCCGUCCCCCAGAUUUACCAUGAGCACCUGUCCUAUCUGUCCUACCCUGUCUGGGUGAGGCAAUCCUCCAACACCACAAAGAGGACCAAGUACCCCUGCAAAUGUACUGACCCUGGGUGUGGGGACCUCCCCCAUCUCUGGGCCGUCUCUGGACCUUGCCUGAGUAGCCUGUAGCAGGUCUUCUUUGUGACAGCUUUCUGUGUUGGAUACUGGGCCUUUCUGCCUGUUAUCACUCACUUUUCCCCUGAGCAAAGACGCUGAGGAAUUGUAGGGACAAUAGGAAUCUCUCAGUAGAGAAGCACCAUAGGGAGUUGCUGUGGAGACCUGAGCUGUUUAGCUCACCCCAGCUCUUCAGGUUUCUCCUUGUCCUCUGGCGCAAGAAGCUUCUAAUCUGUUCCAGAGUCCAAGGAAGGAUGGGAUGAGGUCACAGGCCUGAGAUACUUUAUCUUAGAGAAGGUUCUAGAAAGGCCCAGGGGCUGAAGGUACUGUUUUUGGUCCUUACUCUGACCACAUUUCUGAAAGGAAUGUUGGUGGGGGUUGGGCAUGCUCGGCAGCCUGUUCAGAGGACAGCGGGGUUCAGACAGUGAAAGGCCUUCCACAGAGCUGACCUGCCUCUGUCAAGAGCAUAACCCUGGAAAAUCCCAGAGCUUCACAUGGCCCAGUCUGUGCAGACUCACAACGGAAGAAAACAAAGUCCCCCCAUCACCGGUCAUUUAGAAGCUCCAUAAUCUCUACCUCCAUAUCUCUAACAGCAUUAAAAGGGAUCUAAUUAAUAAUCCA